rnacentral:rRNA from 1 species
CCCUUAGAUGUUCUGGGCCGCACGCGUGCUACACUGAGUGGAUCAGCGGGUCAGGUUGCGCGAAAGCGUUUCCUAAUCUUUAAAUCCGCUCGUGAUGGGGAUUGACGGUUGCAAUUUUCUGUCAUGAACGAGGAAUACCUUGUAAGCGCGGGUCAUCAUCCCGCGCUGAAUACGUCCAUGCCCUUUGUACACACCGCCCGUCGCUCCUACCGAUUGAGUGGUCCGGUGAGGCUUUGGGAUCUGAGCGGAAAGAGCGUUUCGCUGUUUCUGCUCGGAAAACUCAGUCGAACCUUAUCAUUUAGAGGAAGGAGAAGUCGUAACA